AUGAGAACUGGUACGAGGAUGAAGGCAGCACCUGGACGGCAUCCAACGGCUUCGUCCUCAAGAACAAAAACUCCACCGAACCAGGUCGGGUGGGCUCCGGUGGGCAGCACUGGGAGGGGAGGGGGAAAACGACCACGGCUUCUCCCCCAGCCCCACUGCUCACCCCAUCGCCCCCCACCCAUGUCCCCAACAGGUGACAGCCUAAAGAGCUUCACGGCCUCACAGCAACGGGUGAACACCAACAUCCCGGUGGGUGUCCCCCAAGACCUGUGCCCCCCUCCGUGCCCACCCACCACCCCUCAGCCCCCCCGGGCCCAUCUCACCUCCAUCCCCUUCUUUCUUUCCACCCCCACACCCAGAUGCAGAUCACCAGACCCUCAGUGCGACCCCAGUUGUGACCCAGGUCUUCGCUGGCCCCUCCUCACCUCAUUGCCCACCAGCACUACCAGGACCUUCUCAAUGACGCUCAUUCCAAGGACAACGUUGCCUCCUGCUCAUCUUGGUGCCAACCAGAACUUCCAGAACCUUCUCAAUGACGCUGAUUCCAAUAUCAUCGUUGGCUCCUCCUGACCUCAUUGCCCACCAGGACCUCUAGGACCUUCUCAACAACACUGGUUAAAAGGACUAUGCUGCCUCCUUGUCACCUCAUUGCCCACCAGCACUUCCAGGACCUUCUCAACAACUCUGCUUCCAAGGUCAUCGUUGGCUCCUGCUCACCACAGUGCCCACGGGAUUUAUGGGGCUG
rnacentral:lncRNA from 1 species